rnacentral:rRNA from 1 species
GACGAACGCUGGCGGCGUGCUUAACACAUGCAAGUCGAACGGAAAGGCCUCUUUCGGGGGGUACUCGAGUGGCGAACGGGUGAGUAACACGUGAGUAACCUGCCCUUGACUUUGGGAUAACUUCAGGAAACUGGGGCUAAUACCGGAUAGGAGCUCCUGCUGCAUGGUGGGGGUUGGAAAGUUUCGGCGGUUGGGGAUGGACUCGCGGCUUAUCAGCUUGUUGGUGGGGUAGUGGCUUACCAAGGCUUUGACGGGUAGCCGGCCUGAGAGGGUGACCGGCCACACUGGGACUGAGAUACGGCCCAGACGCCUACGGGAGGCAGCAGUGGGGAAGAUUGCACAAUGGGUGGAAGCCUGAUGCAGCAACGCCGUGUGCGGGAUGACGGCCUUCGGGUUGUAAACCGCUUUCGCUCAUGACGAAGCUUUGUGUGACGGUAGUGGGUAAAGAAGCACCGGCUAACUACGUG